rnacentral:rRNA from 1 species
UAACGCUGAGGUGUGAUGACGAGGCACUACGGUGCUGAAGUGACAAAUGCCCUGCUUCCAGGAAAAGCCUCUAAGCAUCAGGUAACAUCAAAUCGUACCCCAAACCGACACAGGUGGUCAGGUAGAGAAUACCAAGGCGCUUGAGAGAACUCGGGUGAAGGAACUAGGCAAAAUGGUGCCGUAACUUCGGGAGAAGGCACGCUGAUGGUAAGUGAAGUGACUUGCUCAUGGAGCUGAAAUCAGUCGAAGAUACCAGCUGGCUGCAACUGUUUAUUAAAAACACAGCACUGUGCAAACACGAAAGUGGACGUAUACGGUGUGACGCCUGCCCGGUGCCGGAAGGUUAAUUGAUGGGGUUAUCCUCGCGGAGAAGCUCUUGAUCGAAGCCCCGGUAAACGGCGGCCGUAACUAUAACGGUCCUAAGGUAGCGAAAUUCCUUGUCGGGUAAGUUCCGACCUGCACGAAUGGCGUAAUGAUGGCCAGGCUGUCUCCACCCGAGACUCAGUGAAAUUGAACUCGCUGUGAAGAUGCAGUGUACCCGCGGCAAGACGGAAAGACCCCGUGAACCUUUACUAUAGCUUGACACUGAACACUGGUCCUUGAUGUGUAGGAUAGGUGGGAGGCUUUGAAGUGUGGACGCCAGUCUGCAUGGAGCCAUCCUUGAAAUACCACCCUUUAAUGGCUGGUGUUCUAACGUGGGCCCGUGAUCCGGGUUGCGGACAGUGUCUGGUGGGUAGUUUGACUGGGGCGGUCUCCUCCUAAAGAGUAACGGAGGAGCACGAAGGUCAGCUAAUCCUGGUCGGACAUCAGGAGGUUAGUGCAAUGGCAUAAGCUGGCUUGACUGCGAGCGUGACGGCGCGAGCAGGUGCGAAAGCAGGUCAUAGUGAUCCGGUGGUUCUGAAUGGAAGGGCCAUCGCUCAACGGAUAAAAGGUACUCCGGGGAUAACAGGCUGAUACCGCCCAAGAGUUCAUAUCGACGGCGGUGUUUGGCACCUCGAUGUCGGCUCAUCACAUCCUGGGGCUGAAGUAGGUCCCAAGGGUAUGGCUGUUCGCCAUUUAAAGUGGUACGCGAGCUGGGUUUAGAACGUCGUGAGACAGUUCGGUCCCUAUCUGCCGUGGGCGCUGGAGAAUUGAGGGGGGCUGCUCCUAGUACGAGAGGACCGGAGUGGACGCAUCACUGGUGUUCGGGUUGUCAUGCCAAUGGCAUUGCCCGGUAGCUAAAUGCGGAAGAGAUAAGUGCUGAAAGCAUCUAAGCACGAAACUUGCCCCGAGAUGAGUUCUCCCUGACCCUUUAAGGGUCCUGAAGGAACGUUGAAGACGACGACGUUGAUAGGCCGGGUGUGUAAGCGCAGCGAUGCGUUGAGCUAACCGGUACUAAUGAACCGUGAGGCUUAACCUUACAACGCCGAAG